rnacentral:rRNA from 1 species
UACGUAGGGUGCAAGCGUUAAUCGGAAUUACUGGGCGUAAAGCGUGCGCAGGCGGUUUUGUAAGUCUGACGUGAAAUCCCCGGGCUCAACCCGGGAACUGCGUCCGAGACUGGAAGGCUUGAAUCCGGGAGAGGGAUGUGGAAUUCCAGGUGUAGCGGUGAAAUGCGUAGAUAUCUGGAGGAACAUCGGUGGCGAAGGCGGCAUCCUGGACCGGUAUUGACGCUGAGGCGCGAAAGCCAGGGGAGCAAACGGG